UCCCUGGUGGCUUAGACGGUAAAGUGUCUGUCUGCAAUGCAGGAGAUCUGGGUUCGAUCCUUGGGUUGGGAA
rnacentral:tRNA from 1 species